rnacentral:rRNA from 1 species
AUGAACGCUGGCGGCGUGCCUAAUACAUGCAAGUCGAGCGAACAGACGAGGAGCUUGCUCCUCUGACGUUAGCGGCGGACGGGUGAGUAACACGUGGAUAACCUACCUAUAAGACUGGGAUAACUUCGGGAAACCGGAGCUAAUACCGGAUAAUAUAUUGAACCGCAUGGUUCAAUAGUGAAAGACGGUUUUGCUGUCACUUAUAGAUGGAUCCGCGCCGCAUUAGCUAGUUGGUAAGGUAACGGCUUACCAAGGCAACGAUGCGUAGCCGACCUGAGAGGGUGAUCGGCCACACUGGAACUGAGACACGGUCCAGACUCCUACGGGAGGCAGCAGUAGGGAAUCUUCCGCAAUGGGCGAAAGCUUGACGGAGCAACGCCGCGUGAGUGAUGAAGGUCUUCGGAUCGUAAAACUCUGUUAUUAGGGAAGAACAAAUGUAUAAGUAACUAUGCACGUCUUGACGGUACCUAAUCAGAAAGCCACGGCUAACUACGUG